ensembl:lncRNA
CAUCAGCAUAAAGUCUAUUGCAGCAUAACCAAGGGAAGAUUCAGGGUCACCUGAUCCACCUCUAACUAUUAGCUUUGUCAAAAAGGAAAUCCUUAGCUGCCUUGGAGUAUACCUGUUAGCCGACUGGCAUAGUGGCAUUGAUGAUUAGUGGCUUUGAGUAACGCCUGCCGAGUCCGAGCCCAGGUGCAACGGCAAUGCGGGAGAUGGUGCCGGACUGAGGGAACGGUGAGGUCAGCCUCUUCCUCAGGAAAUAGGGGUGGCUGAUACCCUAGGGAGACUUCUAAAGGGGACAAGCCAGUUGCAGAAGAUAUGAGGGUGUUGUGUGCAUACUCUAUCCAAGGUAGAUGAGAGGACCAUGUCGCUGGGUUGUAAGUGGUUAGGCAGUGGAGGGUAGACUCCAACUCCUGGUUGAGCCUCUCUGUCUGGCCGCUGGACUGCGGAUGGUAUCCAGAACUGAGACUGACCUUGGCUCCCAGAGCAGUGCAGAAGGUCUUCCAGACAUGGGAGGUGAACUGUGGUCCCCGUUCCGAAACAAUCUCCGAAGGGAUGCCGUGAAGCCUGAAGACAUGGUUAACCAGGAGCUUAGUAUUCUGAAGGGCUGAAGGGAGUUUGUCCAGGGCGACGAAGUGAGCAGCCUUUGAAAACCUGUUGACUAUGGACAAAAUGACAGUUCCCAGAAGAGAAAGGGUCUCCCACCAGAAGUACCAUUUUAAUAAUGAAAUGGUCCUACCUAUGCUGGGAUGACAGGCAAACCUAGCAGUGCUGAUCCAGUUGAUUGCUGUGGAACGGGCUGAGGAGGUGGUCAGGCCAUCCAGUGCCAGGAUCAGGUUCAUCCUGGAGGGCCUGGCGAAUUGUCUUCUCCACGUCCCAGGAAAUUAAACCCACCCUGCAGGUGGCAGGACGAGGUCGACCAAGUAUGACGGCCACCUUAAGCUCCUCCAGCGGCUUAGAG